CACAGCACCACUACCACUACCACUUCCACUUACCACAAGCACUACCACCACCACCACCACUUCCACUUACCACUUCCAUUACUACCACGACUACCACUAACCAUCACCACUUUCAUCUCCAUUCUUGUCAUUAUUGGCUUGUUGUACGUUGUUCAAAUGUUUCAACGUAUGUACAUUUGUGACUACGAUUUCUUGUUAGCGAUAUAAACGAAGAGGAUAAAGACUUUGGAGUAAAUAAUUUUGGCCGUGCCACUAGCAUAAUGUAUUUGUGCGUCUAGGUAUCCUUAGCGUUGCAAGUGGAAAGUGGCUUCACACUAUAAAUGGUUGACACAGCUAAUACAUUAGACAUAAACUUUCUCAGCAUUCACGAACAGUAAAAAUACUAUUGGUAAAUGAUUCAUGGAUAUAUAGUAUUAGUAUUUGGCAUUCGUUUCGCUUAUGAAUUGUGAUUGAACCGAUAUCGUAUCAUCAUUAAAAGUUUCCUGUACAUCUUCUACAUCAUUCAAACAUGUGGAAGAAUCAUAAAUUUCACAAAAAUAAUGUCUCAAUCGCAUACGUAUUGUCUGCUCUGACUUGGCUUGUCUUCUGUAUGUGAUCCAAAUAGACGAGAAUGUCAAUCCAUCAUGUACGACCAAUCACACUUCCUAUAGCUGAAACCGAGUGCAAAUGCUUUUGUAGCAAUCAUGAUCUGUGCCUUUCCAAGUUAGGGGUUCCAAGACUCGUCAAAGUGAAUUUUUCAUUCUUCUUCAUUUAAAUCUCUCGUGUAAAUGGUUAUCAAGAUGUGAUGAGAGAACAAGUCAGGGUGGUCGAAAAGGAUGCUUAAUUAAUGUACGGUGAACGUUUCAUGUUUAUUCAUUGAAUCACCUUUCCAAAGUCUAUUAUUUUGUUUUUAUCAACAUUCGAAAAUUCAAGGGAAAGCUUAAAUCUCUUCUAAGAAUACAUGCAGAAACAAGAAAAAUGGUUUCCCGCCCAGUGGAUGCUUCUGUGAAUACACAAAAGUUUUGUAUGAAAGGUUAAAGCGGUUGUUUGGCACUGAAUGUAACUACCAAGGAAAAAGUAAUGCUAAGCAAAUUUAAUGAUGCAUAUAUAAUUGGGACAAUUGCAACAUUUGCAAUGUUUUGCCAAAGCGAAAUUGUAUCUUUCGUUUGCGUAUAAGGAAUGUGCCUCGUCAAAUUAUCAUCCAUCCCAGCUGAACAAAUACUGUCAAAGAUUUCAAAAAAUACCGUGAAGCAUUUGCUUUAUUAACGAUGUUACUCAAUAAAAAGAUAUUCAUUUGUGGCAUAACAAGUUCUCAAUUCGAUUCCAAGUACAUGGAGAGCGUAUGUUGAAAUUAAUAAAUCUAAAAUGGUGAUUAAGGAAGGAUUACUGUGCAUCUUUGAAAGUCAUUCAAUUCCUUAAUUAAAAACGACCAAUAUGCUGCGGUUCACCCUUAACAUCAUGUUUUUAACCAACGACAUCAUGGGUAGUAAAAUAAGUAAAACCAUAUUCAUAUUCUUUCUUAAUUUUCUCAAUUUUGAUCGUAUUUCGUUUUUUUCCACAACACCAGAUAUUAAAAUCGAUAAAGAACUUUUUCCAUCCGCAGUUGGGAGUACAUCAUUCCUACUUCGAUAUACUUUUGAAAGAGAAAAGUGAACCGAUUGGAAUUGUUUCGACAACACGAAUUUUACUUCUAGGUCAUAUAUUUAUGGCGAUGCCAAACAACAAUAUUGUUGAGACAGUAAGUUAAGCAAAUGGCUAAAUAAAUCCAAGACUGUUGUUGAGUGCUGUGGAUCUCAAUAUUAUCAGUAUCUACUCUUCUCGAUGAUCCUGUAAAUUUUUGUUAUCUUUUUUUAUUUGCAGUUACUGAUAAUACUAGCAUUUUGCAUGCUUUUUUUUAUUUGGAUGUUCUUCCAAUUGAUCAAUACAGUAACUUUAGAACUAUCAUCGCUAUGCCUUUAAAUGACCGCACUAAAAGCAUGGUACCGAAGCACUGACAUAACAGAGAGGUUCAGAAAGGAAUUUAAAGAUUGACUUUUUCGAUAAACUUCAUGUUACAAGUCUUAUCGUUUGUGUUUAUAAAUCAUCAGCCUCUCUCUAUAUCUCUAUAUCUCUAUAUCUCUAUAUAUCAGAUAUAAAGAUGCAAGUUUUGAAGUAGACAUUCCGCACAAGGUCUAGUACACCAUGUCUCUUGUGCUCAGGCUAGUUGUCCUGCAAAAAUGUACAACAGGAAAAUGGAUGUUUCAUCAAAGAUGGACUCCUUUGUCUCAUACUUAUUGAUGGCGAAGCUAGAUCCGUUAUCAUCUUGAGAAAACACAUCGUUGUCUUCAGAGUAGUGAUAGUUCUUAUCGUUGUAGUUAUAGUUGUAGUUAUAGUUAUAGUUGUAGUUGUAAUAACUCUUUCAACAAGUCCUGAAUCUUGGCAAACAGACCCUCAUACAGUGCUGUCAGCUCACUCAAGUCCAAUCGCACCAUGUUAAUUAAACGCAUCUCCAAUGCACGGGUACAUAGAAUUACUUCGAGACUGAAACAAUACGGUGCUUGGGCUUAGUCCUUGUAGUGUAUUUUGCAUACAUACCCUUCUGUUCGAAUGAUAUCCCUAAUGACUUUGUGGGUUUCGUAAAGAACAUCAUAUAGAUUUCUUUGACCAAGUGUAAUAAAGCAAAACACAUGGACAUAGUAUGGAUAUGGACACAGCAUGGAUAUGGACACAAGCAACACUACCAGUCGUUUGAAACGAUGAAAUGGGCAACAAGUCGAUUUGUUUUUCAUCUAUCAAUCGUUGUAAUUCACAUGCAGCUACAAGACGACACGUUAUAUUUAGGGUGCAAAGCAGGUAGAGAUUUCAUAGGCAUAUUUCGAAGUACCAGCUUUAUGCCAAAACAUGCAUGCAUGCAAGAAACUCCAUAACUUCGUUUGCGCAACUCCUGCUUAUCGUCUUCUUUCUAUACCCAUGCUGUUGGAUCAAUGAAUGAACGUAGCAAUAGAUACAAGAUAUAGCGCCACACUUUUGAGCAUAUCCUAAUGACAGUAAUUCGUUUUGUUCUAAGCGACCAAGUAUUCGCUUGCAACACUAUAGUUCUCACUUUGAGGAAACAUUCCUUUGAUGCCCAUGUUCAUUCCACUUGGAUGACAGAAUCCUCGAUAGUAUUAGUAUUAAUGAAUUAACUGUCAGGAUGUGUUGUCGUUCUUGAAGUAAGUCUUGUGAAAGAAACCACCGAGUUAAAAAUAGAGAUCUUGAUGGUUUUAUAUAUAAAAGUUUAAUGCUUGCCUAUUUAUACAUUUCCCAAGGACUGCUGAGGUAGAUGCGUUGUUCAGUUGACUAGGAUUUGUUUGAAUUCAAAGAUUAUCUAUUCAAGUCUUCUUUAUACGUUUGCAUGUGUUUGAUAAGAAUUCCAUUGAUUCAGAAAAAAAGUGCCAACAGUUUUUCCAACUUGACUGACACUACAACCUUCCAAUCAUAGCCAUACUACUAUGGUAUAAAAA
rnacentral:lncRNA from 1 species